GGAACGCCAUAGCUGUCUUAUGUGUCUUUUUUAUUGCUUUUCUAUUAUACGAAGGUGCUUUUCUAUUAUACGAUGGUGGUUUUCUAUUAUACGAAGGUGCUUUUCUAUUAUACGAAGGUAGUUUUCUAUUAUACGAAGGUGCUUUUCUAUUAUACGAUGGUGGUUUUCUAUUAUACGAAGGUGGUUUUCUAUUAUACGAAGGUGCUUUUCUUUUAUACGAUGGUGGUUUUCUAUUAUACGAAGGUGGUUUUCUAUUAUACGAAGAUGCUUUUCUAUUAUACGAUGGUGCUUUUCUAUUAUACGAUGGUGCUUUUCUAUUAUACGAUGGUGCUUUUCUAUUAUACGAUGGUGGUUUUCUAUUAUACGAAUGUGCUUUUCUAUUAUACGAAGGUGCUUUUCUAUUAUACGAUGGUGGUUUUCUAUUAUACGAAGGUGCUUUUCUAUUAUACGAAGGUAGUUUUCUAUUAUACGAAGGUGCUUUUCUAUUAUACGAUGGUGGUUUUCUAUUAUACGAAGGUGGUUUUCUAUUAUACGAAGGUGCUUUUCUUUUAUACGAUGGUGGUUUUCUAUUAUACGAAGGUGGUUUUCUAUUAUACGAUGGUGCUUUUCUAUUAUACGAUGGUGCUUUUUUUA